AUUUUUUUAGGUUUUGAUUUUUAUUACAUUCUCAUGCGAAAGUCAAAACCUAAAGAAAACG
rnacentral:pre_miRNA from 1 species